CUGUGAACAGCAUCAUGGUUCUACCCCACCUUCUGAACACUCGGGAAUUGGGCUUCCUCCCCUCCCCUCGUAGACAGCAGUGUUUGGAGUGAUAAUAGUAGCUUGAUAGCUGGAUUCCUAACCCUGGCUUUUUAUUGGCUUUUUGAAAAACUCAUGAUUCCCUAAGUGGCUUGGUAGUCACUUGGUGGAUGUUUUGGAAAGGACAGUAACUCACCUGUAGCUUGUGAACUUGUGUUUUCUACUGUGACAUUGAAAAUUAAGGAUUGCUUAACUGUCAGCUCAAACUGUUGCUGGGUUGUCAAUGAGGAUGCUUAAUCUUAACAAUAAAGUAAUUUAAAAUAAAAAA
rnacentral:lncRNA from 1 species